GAGUUUGAUCAUGGCUCAGAUUGAACGCUGGCGGCAUGCCUAACACAUGCAAGUCGAACGGGGUGUAGCAAUACACCUAGUGGCGGACGGGUGAGGAAUACAUAGGAAUUUGCCCUUAAGUGGGGGAUAGUCCGGGGAAACUCGGUUUAAUACCGCAUGACCUCGAAAGAGCAAAGCAGGGGAUCGCAAGACCUUGCGCUUUUGGAGAAGCCUAUGUCGGAUUAGCUAGUUGGCGGGUAAAAGCCCACCAAGGCAACGAUCCGUAGCUGGUCUGAGAGGACGAUCAGCCACACCGGAACUGAGGCACGGUCCGGACUCCUACGGGAGGCAGCAGUGGGGAAUAUUGGACAAUGGGCGAAAGCCUGAUCCAGCAAUGCCGCGUGUGUGAAGAAGGCCUUCGGUUGUAA
rnacentral:rRNA from 1 species